UACGGAGGGUGCGAGCGUUGUCCGGAAUCAUUGGGCGUAAAGAGCGCGCAGGCGGUCGUUCAAGUCGAGUGUGAAAGCCCCCGGCUCAACUGGGGAGGGUCACUCGAUACUGAUCGACUCGAAGGCAGAAGAGGGAAGCGGAAUUCCCGGUGUAGUGGUGAAAUGCGUAGAUAUCGGGAGGAACACCAGUGGCGAAGGCGGCUUUCUGGUCUGCUCUUGACGCUGAGGCGCGAAAGCUAGGGUAGCAAACGGG
rnacentral:rRNA from 1 species